GACGUAGGAGGCGAGCGUUGUCCGGAUUCAUUGGGCGUAAAGAGCGCGCAGGCGGCUUGGUAAGUCGGAUGUGAAAUCCCGAGGCUCAACCUCGGGUCCGCAUCCGAUACUGCCCGGCUAGAGGUAGGUGAGGGGAGAUCGGAAUUCCUGGUGUAGCGGGUGAAAUGCGCAGAUAUCAGGAGGAACACCGGUGGCGAAGGCGGAUCUCUGGGCCUUACCUGACGCUCAGGCGCGAAAGCUAGGGGAGCGAACUGG
rnacentral:rRNA from 1 species